rnacentral:rRNA from 1 species
AAAUUGAAGAGUUUGAUCAUGGCUCAGAUUGAACGCUGGCGGCAGGCCUAACACAUGCAAGUCGAACGGUAACAGAAAGCAGCUUGCUGCUUCGCUGACGAGUGGCGGACGGGUGAGUAAUGUCUGGGAAACUGCCUGAUGGAGGGGGAUAACUACUGGAAACGGUAGCUAAUACCGCAUAAUGUCGCAAGACCAAAGAGGGGGACCUUCGGGCCUCUUGCCAUCGGAUGUGCCCAGAUGGGAUUAGCUUGUUGGUGGGGUAACGGCUCACCAAGGCGACGAUCCCUAGCUGGUCUGAGAGGAUGACCAGCCACACUGGAACUGAGACACGGUCCAGACUCCUACGGGAGGCAGCAGUGGGGAAUAUUGCACAAUGGGCGCAAGCCUGAUGCAGCCAUGCCGCGUGUAUGAAGAAGGCCUUCGGGUUGUAAAGUACUUUCAGCGGGGAGGAAGGGAGUAAAGUUAAUACCUUUACUCAUUGACGUUACCCGCAGAAGAAGCACCGGCUAACUCCGUGCCAGCAGCCGCGGUAAUACGGAGGGUGC